CAAAGCGUAGCUUAAUCAAAGCAUCUCGCUUACACCGAGAACAUAUUUGUUAAACCCAAAUCACUUUGA
rnacentral:tRNA from 1 species